UUGUCUCAAAAAAAAAAAAAAAAAAAAAAAAGAAAACAAAAAGAAAAGUACUGAGGCUAAACAAAGCCUUGCUCCUGAAGAAAGGAGAGGUGUGGGGGUCCUAUGGCAACUACUGUGGGUUUGCACAAAGGUCCCCAGAUCAUAAAACAAAGUGGUUUGGGGAUCUUGGAAGGUUACAGGGGUGGACUUCAGUGUCUUGUAGGAGACAAGGCAUUUUAGAGUAAAUUGGGCAUGUCCUAAGGUAAGGAUCUGUGUCCUUCCACAGGUCUAGCUUUCUUGCCUGCCAGUGUGUCCUACCUCAUUGGCACCAACCUCUUUGGUGUGUUGGCCAACAAGAUGGGUCGGUGGCUGUGUUCCCUAAUCGGGAUGCUGGUAGUAGGUACCAGCUUGCUCUGUCUACCAAGUUAGAAGUCUAAAUGAAACCUUUCAGUGAUGUCCCUAAUGGAAAACAGAGGCAACUUUAUUCCAUGAAGAAUGAGACCAGGAGAGUAUGUUUAGGUUCCUCUGGCUCACAAUAUUUUUGGUCUCAUUGGCCCCAAUGCAGGGCUUGGCCUUGCCAUAGGCAUGGUGGAUUCUUCUAUGAUGCCCAUCAUGGGGCACCUGGUGGAUCUACGCCACACCUCGGUGUAUGGGAGUGUCUACGCCAUCGCUGAUGUGGCUUUUUGCAUGGGCUUUGCUAUAG
rnacentral:sRNA from 1 species